AACCAGCACCUCAAGUGGUCAGGAUGAUUAUUGGGCCUAAAGCAUCCGUAGCCUGUUCUGUAAGUUUUCGGUUAAAUCUAUGCGCUCAACGUAUAGGCUGCCGAAAAUACUGCAGAACUAGGGAGUGGGAGAGGUAGACGGUACUCGGUAGGAAGGGGUAAAAUCCUUUGAUCUAUUGAUGACCACCUGUGGCGAAGGCGGUCUACCAGAACACGUUCGACGGUGAGGGAUGAAAGCUGGGGGAGCAAACCGG
rnacentral:rRNA from 1 species